rnacentral:rRNA from 1 species
AGAGUUUGAUCAUGGCUCAGGGUGAACGCUGGCGGCGUGCUUAAGACAUGCAAGUCGAACGGACUUCCUUCGGGGAGUCAGUGGCGCACGGGUGAGUAACACGUAACUGACCUGCCCCAAAGUUGCGAAUAACCCUCCGAAAGGAGGGCUAAGACGCAAUGUGCUGUCCCCUCGUGUGGGGCCAGUAAAGGCUGUGACCGCUUUGGGAUGGGGUUGCGUUCCAUCAGCUUGUUGGUGAGGUAAAGGCUCACCAAGGCGACGACGGAUAGCCGGCCUGAGAGGGUGGCCGGCCACAGGGGCACUGAGACACGGGCCCGACUCCUACGGGAGGCAGCAGUAAGGAAUAUUGGUCAAUGGACGCAAGUCUGAACCAGCCAUGCCGCGUGAAGGAUGAAGGUCCUCUGGAUUGUAAACUUCUUUUAUCUGGGACGAAACCCCUGUUUCUACAGGGACUGACGGUACCAGAGGAAUAAGCACCGGCUAACUCCGUGCCAGCAGCCGCGGUAAUACGGAGGGUGCAAGCGUUAUCCGGAUUCACUGGGUUUAAAGGGUGCGUAGGAGGGCAGGGAAGUCAGUGGUGAAAUCUCCGGGCUUAACUCGGAAACUGCCGUUGAUACUCUCUGUCUUGAAUACCGUGGAGGUGAGCGGAAUAUGUCAUGUAGCGGUGAAAUGCUUAGAUAUGACAUAGAACACCAAUUGCGAAGGCAGCUCGCUACACGAAUAUUGACUCUGAGGCACGAAAGCGUGGGGAUCAAACAGGAUUAGAUACCCCCGUAGUCC